rnacentral:rRNA from 1 species
UACGGGGGGGGCAAGCGUUGUUCGGAAUUACUGGGCGUAAAGAGCUCGUAGGCGGUUUGUCGCGUCUGCUGUGAAAACUGGAGGCUCAACCUCCAGCCUGCAGUGGGUACGGGCAGACUAGAGUGGCGGUAGGGGAGAUUGGAAUUCCUGGUGUAGCGGUGGAAUGCGCAGAUAGUCAGGAGGAACACCGAUGGCGAAGGCAGAUCUCUGGGCCGUAACUGACGCUGAGGAGCGAAAGCAUGGGGAGCGAACAGG